rnacentral:rRNA from 1 species
AUUAGAAAAUUUUAGUGGGGAAGGAGAGAGGGGAAGCACAAACGACAUUGGGUUUCAUAGAAAACAAUGAAUCAACCAAAGGGGGUGGGUGGCCUUGGCUUCAAAGAUACUGAGAUCUUCAACUUAGCCUUAUUACCUAAGCAAUCAUGGCACCUGAUACAGUCUCCGGAUUCUCUAAGUGCCCGCCUGCUAAAGAGUGUUUACUUUCCAGAUACAUCAAUAUUGCAUGCCUCCUUGGGAUCACACGCAAGUCAAAUAUGGAGGUCCAUCAUUGAGGGGAGAGACGUUCUAAAGCAAGGGUUUAUUAAAAGAAUUGGCAACGGUGCAACAACUAAUAUUUGGGAGGACAACUGGCUGCCGAGAGAUGAAAUGAUGAAACCAUACGGGUGCCUCCUCGUGAACCCCCCAUUGCUUGUCUUUGAACUUAUAGACGCCUCCUCCACCACAUGGAACGUACAACUUUGCAACAAUCAUUCUUGCCGAUGGAUAUCCGAACGGUCAUGGAAAUUCCGUUGUGCACAUGGAAUGUAUCCGACUUCGUCUUGGAAUUUUGAAAAGCAUGGAAAUUUCACUAUGGAAUCUACCUACCGCGUGCUUGUUUCCACGAGACAAUGA